rfam:Aedes aegypti strain Liverpool supercont1.147 genomic scaffold, whole genome shotgun sequence.
GGCUCGGUAGCUUAGAUGGUAAAGCCCUUGUUUAGCAUACAAGAGUCCUGGGUUCGAAUCCCAGCCGAGCAA